AAAAAAAUUCUAAAAGAAAUUCUUAUUACUAUUUUUAGCAAAGAUUGGAGUUGAACACGUGGUUACUAAAUAUCACGGUUGCUUUGUGCGUUUCGUAAUUCGUACUGCAACCAUUAACCUUACGUGCUUUGCUUUAGAAGACUAACAACUGCUUCUUUCUACCAUCUGCACCCCUACCUAAUACACAUGAUGCCUCUAUGAACCCUAUAGUUUGCUCAAUAUGAUAUCUAUUUGAAAUUUGAAAUUUGAAAUUGUUCAAUUCAAGAUGGAGCCUGAAUCAGAUAGAUUGGGGGGUUUCAUCUAACAUUAAAGAUUUGUUUGAAAAGAAGUAAGCUAUUCAAUUGCAACUCUCAACCCAGUUUAAUUUGUCUUUUUCCUCUACCUUCUCUUAACCAUUUGUUUUCAUCUCAUUUUUCGUUGAUUAAAUCUUAUUUUUGGAGGGAUGGCUGGCCGGAUUUCGUGAAGGAUAUGGAGAUUGGAGAUGGAGCCUGCAUAAGAGAGAUUGGUGGUUUCAUCUAACGGGUGAGGCAGCAGGGUUUGUAGGCAAGAGUACUAAAGUUAUUAUAUAAUGAAUCUGAAUCUAUGACCGUGUUAGAGGAGGCUACACUACCUGAAAGGUGAUGUAGAGAUUGGCCAAAGAGGAGUAGAUGAUACAUGCUUUGGCCUUUCCAGAUUAUUUUCUUUUAUGGAAGAGCCACUUGAAAUACUCACAAGGGAAGAUGUGACAGAAAUGUGUACAAGUUAGCCUUCUAGAGAAUAUGGUUGCCAUGAUCUUGGAAAUGAUGGAGGCAGCCCAGUGCUGCUUUAUGUUUAUCAUUAUGCAUUGAAGUUGUAAAAGCUGCAGAUGCUGCAUAGGUUAAUGAUAUUAGGAGUCUGGGCUCAUCCCAUCAAAGAUGAUGUUUAGAUUAGCUAUGAAUUUGUAUGAAGAGCUGCAGGGAGCAGUCCUAAGUUGUUGAAGACUAUCAUGAAAGAAAAUUUGGCCUUCGAUUUUCUAUAGUGAGCUUAGCUUUUUUAUUAAAUUAACUUUUGUAAUUUAAGCAAUGUAUUGCUCAAUUUUCAGACAUGGAUAAGGGUAUAUCAGUAUGUAGCUUCCAGACAUAGAUAUCUCUUCCUCAUGGUAGAGGGUAGUCAACAAUCUAUCAUUGCUGCCCAAUAAGCUAUCUGCUGCUCGAAUCUCUCUUCAAUGAAUAUUGAAUAGACUUUGAGUGCUUGGUAGUUUAAUUCUGUAUUUUUGGUUUGGGCUUUAUUUUAUCUCAAGAUUGU